UUGAUAAAACUUUUAGUUAAUUAAGCUAAUUUUAAACAUAGCUAGUCAUAAACGCCCAUGUUUCUAGCCAAUUUCUUAAGCUCAAUAUCCAAUACCCAUUAAGCUAAUCCUAGGGACCCUUCUAGACUCUUCUUUAGAAUAAAAAAUAAAUAAAAGACCCUAAGGGCUUAACACAAAAAAACCUAGGGACUAAUUGUCAAAAUACACAAAAAUACACUUAAACCUAGACUCUACAUAUAAAGUAAUGCUUAAAAUAUAAAAAAAGAAAAAAGGGGGAGAAGGCUGGAAAAAGAAAAAGCUGUGCAGCUUUUCACAAACGACCCACCCCCCUUCAAAUCGUCUCCUUCAUACCACCCUACCCCAAACGAUCCAUCUCCAAUGCCUGAGAAGCAGCCAUUCUUCAUCAGCUGGACAAAAACCAAACCAACAACCUUUUUCCUUCUUCAACCCAUUUCCACCCUCUCCAUUUCGAAGCUAGACCAGCCAUCCACCACCCAAACGAAGCUCCUCUGUCAAGCAAUUUCAGACCGUUACUGCUGCGUCAGAAGGUGAUGGAUCUGGCGAGAAAUUCGGCAAACCACCAAACAAUAGCCAAAGAUCGUAAUCCAGCAUAAAACAUCCCUUGUGACGUCUAAAACCAUCGUCCAAGCUCAGUCGAGUUGAAUCCUGUGAGAUCCGUUCAAAGCUUCUGAUUUGAGGUAUGUUCGAGGUCGUCGUUGAGGCUCUCCGGUCUAGUCUAGGUCGAGUCGACCAGCUUUCCGUUAGAAGAUCCGAGGUCGUCGUUGAGUAUCUGAUCCAGUCAGUUGGUUUCUUUCUCUGCGAAUUGGUUUUCAUUUUUUUUAUUGGAUUCAGAAGCUGGGUUUAGCUUCAUUUGGUUAUUUGUUGUUGUUUCAUCAGGCAAUAAAAUGUUUCUCUAAUUGUUCGUUUGGGUAAUAGUCGUAACUUUUCGAAUUCUAGUAGUAUGGACCAAACGUUUACAGUAGAGUGUUUGGAUUGUUUUUCUAUUUUGUUGCCUUCUCAUCUAUUUUACUAUCUCGUUAUAGUAGCUAUGAUGUUUCUUGUCGCACUAAUUUCGAUGGACCAUGAUUAUUCAUUUUUAACUUGAUAUUGUUGAUUGUUCUAUGUGUUGUGUAUUGGUUUGAUUUUUAGGAAAUUACUUUAGAAAUAUAGUACUGUAUUCUAGCAAAUGGUUUAAAAUCCAUCUUUGAUGAAUAACUUGUGUUGUAUGCUUACAACAAUUUUCUACGCAUAUAUCAGUUUGGUGGUGGGUUUGAUAUUAGUAAGGAUUUCAAAAAUUAUGGGCUGCUGGGAUUAUAGCCCAUCAGUUCCCAUUUGUGUUUGGAAUAUUUUGGUUGGCAUAUACAAGUUAUUGGAAGUGGUUUCGAUUCUCAAAAGCUUAAAUGAACAGGAUAAUAGGUUGCUAGCCCAUCUACUUUCAAAUAACUAAGGCUCUGCUUUUAGAUUAUUAAUAAUUUGAGGCUUGCCAUGCCAAAUAAAAUCUCAAAACACAUGGCCCUCACUUAAUUACUAUUUUCAUCCAUAGAAAUCGAGGCGUGCCAUUUAGUUGAACUUCCAUGCCCCCCACAAACUUAAAAGUGUGUAGUUGCUUUAGGUGCGUUAUUUUAAAACUUACCUUCCUAAACUCCGGUGCACAUUUAUGUGACCCAAAUCCAAAUCUCAACGUUAAAUAAAAUGUGUUGCAGACUGCGGGUGCAUUUAUGUGACGUGGUUCAAGACAUAUUUUAAAUGACGUUGCAAUCUUCCUUAAUAAAUGAUGAAUAAAAGCGGUGAUAAAGUUCAAAAUUGCACCAUAAGAUAAAACAUGUACUAAAAUCAGAUAAUAGACCAAUUGCAACAGUUGAGCGACCGUUCUAGAACCACGGAAUCCGGGAAUGCCUAACAUCUUCUCCCGGGUUAACAAAAUUCCUUACCCGGACUUCUAGUUCGCGGACUGUAAAAUAGAGUCAAACUUCCUCGAUUCGGGAUUUGAACCGGUGACUUGGGACACCUUAAAUUAUCCCAAGUGGCGGCUCUGAAUUUUAAAUAAAUAAUCCCGUUUCGAUUGUCACUUAAAUUGGAAAAAACUCCCUUAUAUACACCUUUCCGAGGGUGUAGGUAAAAAGGUUGUGUGACAGCUCUGACGACUUUGCAGGGGAAAAGAACCCAGAAUCUCUGGUUCAGGGUUCAGAAUUCGAGCUUAGUUGAAUUGUUGUAUUUGGCUUUAUCUAUUAUCUGAUUACAUUCUUGGGCCUAAUGUGUUAAAUGAUGCUUUUACCGCUUUAAUAUUAUCUGAACUAUAUAUAAACAUCUACGAAACCCUUCUCUUCUCAUCUUCGAGGAUGUGCUCGCUGGUCGAGACUCCUUAUUCUGUUAGUGUCAUACCUUGAAAUAAGAAAGAGGCUCGGACAAGUUACUAAGACAGAUGGCCUUUUGGUUCCCGGUACGUAGCCCCCUCCUCGGCUCGAGUUGUCCGCUCGGGUACACAGUCUAAAACACAUACCCAGAUUUUAAACCUAGAAUAACUCAGCCUCAUGCCAGAUCCCUAGUAGAAAAGCUUGUUUGCAUCACGUGCAUCUGACUUUAGGGACUCAACACAGGGGUUGGGUCCGUCUAGGACAGGUGUACCCAAAAUAACAGACCAUCUUGAUGCAUCCUAUGUGCUACAUGUUGCAUUUUUUCAAGGGUAAAAGGGUCAUUUAGCGGACCAAUGAUAGUUGAGGGCAAAUGAAAAAGAAGAAAAAAAGAAAAAGAGGUUGAAGUGUAAAAAUAAAGCAAGUAGGGCCUAGUUAUGUUUUUGUUACAUUUUUAUUAAGAAAAAGACAAAAAAACAUGAAAAAUUCAAAAAGAUUUUGCAAUUUUUCAUCAUUUUUCGAAAAUCAAAAAUAAAAAAGAAGGAAAAAGAAAAUCCAAAAAAGAUGUUGCAUGUUUUAUCAUUUUCAAGGAAAAGACAAAAAUAUAUUUUCUCUAAAUUAGUUGUUUUUGUUUUAAUUCUCGUCGUAUCCAAUCUCCCCGAACUACGCGAACCUAAUUCUCGUCUCUCGGGGCGGGAUACGUAGGCAACCCACAUAGGGUGCGGUCUUCCUAGUAAAUCUUAGGUUCUUGGCUUUGCAGUGUCUUAGCCAAAUUUUGCACUUCUAACCAUCUUUUGGCCAAAUAAGUCAUUUUGUAAAAAAUAGCCUAAAUCAUGUCUUGCAUGGUUCCAACAUGAAGGGUUAUUGUCUCACAUAACGUUCUAGGUCUUUAACCUAUUUGGUUUUAAUUUUCUCAUACAUGUGUGGAUUUAUUUAUCGGAGUUUGAGCAUGACAGAGCCCCAAGACAUCUAGUCAGGAUCGCUCAUUCAGGAGUGAAUUAAAAGAAGAUUUUCUUUUCUUUUGUUUAUAUUUUGAGUCUGUUUUUCUUUUUAUGUUUUCUUUUACCUUUUAGUUUUGUAUAGUAAUGUCGAUUUUUAUUAUUAUUAUUGUACUUUCUAUUUUGCAUUUGAAAAGGUGUGUAAUAAAUCAAAAAUCCAAUAAAAACAAAUUUGCGUUUUAUGUUUCCGCUAGGAAUCUUUUUUUUAGAAUACUAAUUGUAGAAAUGAACAAAUAUAUUUUUGAGGUGAUUUUUCCUUUAGGCAAUUAUUAUCUAGAACUCAAAAUAAAAAUUGCUUUUAUAUCUUCUUUUAGUACAUUAAGACCAAAAAUUAAAAUAAAAGAAGAGAAUUUUCUUUUGUAACGCUUUAAAAGUUUUCUUUUAAGAUAUUAAUUUUAAAAAUCCAAAAAGAUUUUCUUUGGAAAAUUGAUGAAAAAUGACUUGAAAAAAAAGUUCUUUUAUUUUUACUAUAACUUUAGGACAUUGAACAUAUAAGAAAAAGAAAACAACAAUACUUUUUCUUUGGUUUAUUUUCAGAGUUUCUUCCUUAGGUAAUCNNNNNNNNNNNNNNNUGGUUUAACAUUUAGAUUUCCUUCUUAAAAAGAAAAAGAAUCAAAAAAUAUUCUUCUCCUGUAGGAUUUCUCCUUAAGAAUUUUCCAUAAAGUGUUUAAAAAAAAGAGAAAAAUAUAUGCUCAUUAAGUUUGAGUUUAGGAUAGGUUAUAGAACAUGGAGUCUAGAAAAUUCAAAUUUUUUUUUUUGCUUCUUUUAUUUCUCUUUUUCUCAUCAGAGUAGUCACUAAGGUAAAAACAAAAGAAAAAGAAAAAGAGAACGUCAGUUUGUUUCCUUUAUUCCUGAUCUUCCAAAACUACACAAAGAUCUGAUUCAUGCGGGGUCAUGAUACAUAGGCAACCUACAUAGGAUUCGAUCAAAUCAUUUUUUUAUUAUUAAAAGAAAAAAAAGAAAAGAAAAGAAAAAAAGGGGAAAAAAGAAGGAAAAAAAGAGAGGUGAAAUUGUGGGAUGUGAGAUAUGAGAGAAAGAUAAGAGUGAUGAUGAAAAAAAAAGAGAAAUGACGGAAAAUGGGCAAGCCAAGAGGUUCUAGAAUACAAAGAAAAGAAAGGAUUGAAAUGAAUAAAUUGGGGUGAUGCCAAAUGACCUUCAUACCCUCGAAGUCAUUUUAGAACCAAUAAUUGUGACUAGGUGCAUUGCACGCAAUGUGAUAUUAUAUUAUGUUAAAUGCCCUAACGCUAACGUGGUGACUUCAUUUUGUUAUCUUCAUAGCAAAGAUUGGUUGGUUUGUGGUUCUUGCAGUAGUAACUCCUCUCUACAACAUAAAGUCAAAAGGCAAUGGCAGACAACAACAGAAUUGGGUUGGUUGAUACCGGUUCCCGAAAUCAGUUGGUUGAACAGGACUCCGGUUUGGCUGAUGAGGUAAGGAUGUUAAGACAACACAUUACAGACAUGUAUCAUGCUUGGAUGACUGGGAAGGCACCAACCCCGCCACCUCCUAGUAGCUCCAUCACUCGUCCUCCAGUUAUCUUUUCCAAAAAUUGUCCUCCUGUCAUGUCCACUAUCCCCAACAAUGAAUACCCACUCAAAGCUCAUGAUGCCCAAUAUUACCUCUCAAAGGUUGCCCACAAGGUUCCUGACUCAUACAAGCAGAGUGCUUGGGAUGAGCUCCAUGCUGAAAAUGAAAAGGUCACAGGAAAAGAAGGGCGAGAUGAGAUACCCAGGAAACUGAAAGGCAUAGAACAGUCCUUAAAGAACAAACAAGGAAUGGGAGACCAGGAUAACAUGGAUUGCAAAGAAUUGUCUGUGUCCCCUGACGUUCGCCUGCCCGCGGGGUUUAAAGUGCCAAAAUUUAACUUGAAUGAUGUGUGUGGAGAUCUGGUAGCCCACAUGAGGGUUUAUUGUAGUGAAAUGAGAAGUGCUGGAGAGAAAGAUGACUUGUUGAUGGCAUAUUUCAGUAAGAGCCUGACUGGGGCAGCUUUGGAAUGGCUUAAUCGUCAAGAUGUCGGUAGGUGGCCUACAUUGGGUGACAUGGCUCAAGAUUUCGUUCAAUACUUUCAAUACAAAUUAGGCGUUACCCUAGAUCGCUCCUCCCUAUCUAAAAUGGAAAAGAAGCUGGAGGAAAGCUUUAGGGAGUUUGGGCUCAGAUGAAGGGAGCAAACUGCUCGAGUCAGUCCCCCGAUUGGUGAAGAAGAAAUGGUUGAUCUUUUCCUACAAGCCUAGGGGCCCACCUACUUCAAUCAUUUGCUCCCGGCCUUGGGUAAGCCUUUCAAUGAUGUGUGAAAAAUAGGGGAGAUAGUAGAAGAGGGAAUCAAGUCAGGCAAAAUCAUGAGUUAUUCGGCAUUGAAAGAUACUACGAAAGACAUUCAGAACAUCCCAAUAAGUUUGGGUGGAAGAAAGAGAAAUAGAAAAGAUGAUCCGAUGGGCCUUCCUGCUCAACACUUCCAGCCUCGAUAUCAUUCCCGUGGAUAUCCUUGUGCACCAGAUGACCUUCCCUAAUGCUACUUCUCUCCACUGAACUCCCAAAGUCAUACAUCAGUUUCCUAGUACCCUAUCCACAAUGCACCACCAUAUGCUCCACACCCACACGGCCCGCGAUGACCCACACCACUUCCCCAAAUGUCUUACCCGCCCCCAUGAGCCUACCGAAACCCUUCUGGAUCAGGUUUUUGGCCCAAUCAAGCAUUUAAGAAUGAGAGGUUACAGAGAAAGAAAACCUUCACUCCAUUGGGAGAGUCAUAUGCCAGUCUGUUCCAAAGGCUAAGGAAAUUAGACAUGUUGAAGCCGAUUCAGAUAAAAAUGCCAAACCCUCUUCCAAAGAAGUUUGUUUUUUCUCAAAGGUGCGCAUAUUGCUCAGAUGCCUCGGGGCUUAAAAUAGAGAAGUGUUGGCAUCUGAAGAAAGCAAUUCAGAAGCUUAUUGAUGCAGCUGACAUUGUCGCGCAAAAUCCAGAUGCAACAGACACUAGCCAAGGGCCAUCGCUUGUGCGUAAUGAGACGCAUAUGGUGGGUAUGAUUUAUUUUGAAAAGGAAUAUGAGAAUUCUUCUGAGAUCCUCAGAGGUCCACCUGCUACGAAGCUUUCAGCACUAUCAGAGGUUGAUCCUAAGAAUGAGCAGGCACAGGGAACCCAAAAGCAAUUUGUUAAGAACAAUGUGAUGGAGACUUGUGAAGGUCCUAGUAUUGUUGAUGCAGAAGUCAGUGGCUAAGAUGCUGAGUUUUGUGAUUGGAAAGACGCUCUUUUCUUGGUUAUCCAAGUAGGAGUUUUGGUGGUUUAUUUUGUUGUCAUUUCUGUUAUCCGGAUUAUUUCCAGGGUUGUAAUCUGGAUAUUGUCUUGUGACUCAAACCCUUUUAUUCUUUUAUUUUGCCUAGUUGUUUAGUCGUAGCAGCUCGUUUAGUGUUGUCUAGGUUUGUUCUAGGUUUGUAACCCUAGUUUAGUUUGCUUGUUUUGUUGUUCAAAUCCUUUCACCAGCUGUCUAAUGCAAUUUUCUGUUUUCUAUAACUGCUAGUCAUUUUUGUUUAGUUCUCUUUUCUUUUAUAGUUCUUUUCCUGUUGACUCUAGUGACAUGACAUGCACACAUAAUUCUCAGCCUGGUUUUAAAAGUUAAUUUAGUCAUGAAGCAAUGAAGCAAUUUUGAAGAUGUAGGGACAUGCGAGGGGAAAUAAGUAAAGGCAUUUUGAGAUCACUUCAAGCCCGAAUUGUGUGAAACUGGGGCAGAUAGAACAUAAAGAAACCCUAUUAAAAUGCAUCUUGCCGCAUCUGGUCUAAGCUAAAGGCGAGUUCACCCCAAAUUUGUAGGGGGUCGUUCGUGGUAAUGAGAGUGAGAGUGUUGUCCAAUUGUGCUUUGUAUUUAACAUAUGUAGAAGGCAAAUGUGUAGAAAUGGCUAUCAAUUCUGAUGCGGUCAAAAGAUAUUAUGUAUGAUUUUUUUGGUUAAGUGGUGUUUGUUUGUACUUAGCAUGUUUUGAAGAUUGGAAUGACAAAGUCAUUUUGUUCUGCUAUCUAAACACUUUAUCCUUUGUUAUCCCCUUGAGCCUUAUUUAUUUCCUUUCAUACCCCUCUUUUGGAAUCAGCAGCAAAGAUCAGAAACACAAGCGUGAAAGAUAAAUGAAGGAAAAGAGAGAAAAGAAAAAGAAAAAAGAGAAGAGAGAAAAAGAAAAAAAAUAGAGAAACAAAAAGAAAGGAAGACAACAAAACAACAAAAAGAGGAAAAGAAAGUAAAAAGAGAAAGAAAAGAAAGAGGAAAGAGAAAAUCACAACAACAAAGCAAUUUCCAUGUCAUGAACUACGUUCGACCUGAUUCCUUUAAAGCAUACGUAGGCAACCUCACGGUUCGGUCCUAUCAAAAUAAAAAUCCAAAAGUCCCCAAGCAAGAAACUGGGACAGAAGUUAUGGUUGUUGUAAGAAAUCUGAUUCCGAAAGUUGUAACUUUGAACCUAUGUGAAUUGUUUUGAGCCUUUGAUAUCCUUUCUUUUUAACCCUAUCCAAAAGCCCACGUUACGGUCCAAAGAAAGACCUUCCAAUUAAUCUUCGAGAGAUUCCAAGUCAAGCAAGGAGAGGUAAUUCAUAUCAGGGGCAACACUCUGGUCAAAGUAGAAAAAUAAUGAAAUGAGAGAGUCUUAUUGGUGAAAAUCUUCACGAGGCGAAGGGAGCUGAGAGAACUCAAAAAUGAGAGAGUCUUAUUGGUGAAAACCCUUAGGGGCACCGUAAGGUGAUGAUAAGUUGAAAUAAACAACAAAAUGAGAGAGGCUUGAUGGUGAAAACCCUUCGAGCUCUACAAGUCGAAUAAAGAUUGUGAAUCAGAUUGGAUAAUCGGAGCAUUGAAGCCCAGUUUCAUAGUUUAGGGGUAUAACAGGAGUUAAACAUCAGACUUGCUCAACAGAAUAGGCCACAGGUGCAUGUCAUGGUCAUUAGAGUUAGUAUCCACAUCUGAUAGGUUUCUACUUUGUAGUUUUCUUGUUAGGAAGCAUCUCUUUCCCUUGUCCUUUACUCUGUUCCUUUUGUCUUGUUUACUUCCUCUUCCAGAGUCUAUUUGGUCAAAAUAAGUGAGAAAUGACUUCAAAAUUUGCCACCAGCUUUCCAAUUGCACAAAACGAGAUCUGGCUAGCACAUCAAAGUGGCAUAAGUUAGGAAAGAAUAACAAGCGCACUGAGUUGGUAACAAUUAGCAUGCUUUGGGAUCCAUGUGAAAUACAAAGGUUUGGUAUAUAUCAAUUCAUGAGCAAUGCAACAGAUGGAGGGUGUUAGGUGAACGGAUCAAAGGUAUUUUUUGUGAUAAUAUUGACAAAGAAAGUAGUUAACCAGUGACAAGCAAGGUCUUACGAGUAGAAAUCAAAGUUAUCAUGGCAAGUGAGGGAGCUAUAGACCUCAAGUCCAUGGCCAGGGGUUUAAGUCAAGAAAGAACAACAUACGCAAUGAGUGGGUGACAAUUGUCGUGCUUUGAGAUUCAUGUUAGACUCAAAGGNNNNNNNNNNNNNNNNNNNNNNNNNNNNNNNNNNNNNNNNNNNNNNNNNNNNNNNNNNNNNNNNNNNNNNNNNNNNNNNNNNNNNNNNNNNNNNNNNNNNNNNNNNNNNNNNNNNNNNNNNNNNNNNNNNNNNNNNNNNNNNNNNNNNNNNNNNNNNNNNNNNNNNNNNNNNNNNNNNNNNNNNNNNNNNNNNNNNNNNNNNNNNNNNNNNNNNNNNNNNNNNNNNNNNNNNNNNNNNNNNNNNNNNNNNNNNNNNNNNNNNNNNNNNNNNNNNNNNNNNNNNNNNNNNNNNNNNNNNNNNNNNNNNNNNNNNNNNGAAGUGAAGGAGCAAUCGCCCUCAAAGUCAAGGCCACAAACCAACCACCAUAUUUUUAAACUGACAAGAUUUUUCUUUGAUGUGAAACAUGGGCAAAAAAUUUUGUUUGCUUCGGAGAAACCCUCCGUAAGGAAAAGCAAGCACCAGAAAAGUUUGACCGUAAAUUCUCAGGACCCUCCUAGAAAAUGAGAUCUAGUUUAAAAUUCAAAACAGUCAUGGGUGGCAAGAUCUAGCAUAAGUGUACCCCAAAAGAAUAUAAGUUGGCUUUAAAGUUUGCACGCCUGAGAUAAGAUACAAUUAGGAGUUUUCAGGACCCUCCUGGAUAAAAGGACCUAGCUUUAAGAUUUUCAUUAGAUAAAAAGAUGUGGCGUAAGUUCUGUUGUAGGGUAGUAUAAUUCAGCCGUAAAAUUGUCACUCUUAAGAUAAGACUUGAUUUUUGAUUUUCAGGACCCUCCUGGAUAAUGGGAUGUAGUUGUAAGACCUUCUUAGAUAACAAGAUUUAGCGGAAGUCAUACCUUUAAAAACAUAAUACAGCUUUUAAAUCUGUCAUUUAACUAGGAGUUUUCAGGACCCUCCUAGAUAAUGGGUUCUAGAUUUCAAAUUCUUAGUAAUAUUUGGUAACAUGAUUCAGUUUAACACUCACAGAUGUGGCCAGCUACCAAACUAGGGCUGCAAAUUUUCUUUGUUUUUUCUAUUUUGUUUAAAUCAGGAGCCCACCUAGAGAGCACGAGAAUACAAUUCAUGUUCAGCAAUCAGGCACCCACCUGGAGAGCACGGGAAUACAAUUCAAGUUCAGCAAUCAGGCACCCACCUGGAGAGCACGGGAAUACAAUUCAAGUUCAGCAAUCANNNNNNNNNNNNNNNNNNNNNNNNNNNNNNNNNNNNNNNNNNNNNNNNNNNNNNNNNNNNNNNNNNNNNNNNNNNNNNNNNNNNNNNNNNNNNNNNNNNNNNNNNNNNNNNNNNNNNNNNNNNNNNNNNNNNNNNNNNNNNNNNNNNNNNNNNNNNNNNNNNNNNNNNNNNNNNNNNACCUGGAGAGCACGGGAAUACAGUUCAAGUUCAGCAAUCAGGCGCCCACCUAGAGAGCAUGGGAAUACAGUUCGAGUUUAGCAAUCAGGCACCCACCUGGAGAGCACGGGAAUACAGUUCAAUUUCAGCAAUCAGCGCCCACCUGGAGAGCACGGGAAUACAGUUCAAGUUCAGCAAUUAGGCUCCCACCUGGAGAGCACGGGAAGGUAGUCCAAGUUUAGUAAUCAGGCGCCCACCUAGAGAGUACGAGAAUACAGUCAAAGUCUUGGCAAUCAGGCGCCCACCUGGAAAUCAGGGGAAUACAAAUAAAAUUUUUGGCAAUCAACGAUCACCUGGAGAGCAAGGGAGAACAACACCAGUUUUAGGGAAGGGAAACAAUUUGAGUAUCGGUAAUCAGGCGUCCACCUGGAGAAAAGGAAAGAAUCUCCGAUUAUAAUUCGAGUUCAGUAAUCAGGCGUCCACCUAAAGAAAAGGGAAAGCAUCUCAAAUUACAAUUCAAGUCAGCAACAAAAGAAGCUCGCGGCAAGAAUGCGAGUCAACAGUCCGAGCUGAUCAACAUAAGUUAGUCACAAUAAAGAAAAAAAAGAGAAAGGCAAGAAGUUAAUCCAAAUGCAGAAGUUGAUGAAAGAUAUGAGCUUCUCAAGACAUGGUUGAGGUCACAAGCAUUACAUGUCCGGUCUUGAUCCGAAAAUCUGAAGAAGAACGAGCUAGCACCUGCAACUAGCAAGCGUCAAGGUUCAAAUCCAAAGUCUGCAUGAAGAACCAUUCAAGGCUCAAGAUCAAGCUUCAGAAAACUUAUAGAUAGGAAUAUUGUAACUCAUAGUUGACAGGCUUAACUAGUCUUUUUCAUCUUUUGAUUUUUGAUGUAAUAACAGGACCGCGGACCGGAACCUCGGCGGAACGGCACCUCGACCGGCUCUCCACCUCGGCAUACUCCAUCAUCUCACUUACCUCUAAACUACACGUGGCCUGAUUCCUUUAUAGCCAAGGAUAUGUAGGCAGCUCAGAUACCAGGGCUCGGUCACAUUCCCCUUUUCUCAGUUUUAGUCUCUCAUAAAUAAGGGUCGGGUCAAAAAACCUGUCUAACUGUUCUUUGUCUGAAAACGCUUCACGUUUUCAGUCAAAGAGGGGCAGCUGUAGACAUGUGAUUUUUGACCUUCCCCAAGAUUUUUAUAGUUUAACAUGUAAAUAUUUAAUUUAGACAUAAUAUAGCUAUAUCAACUAAUUUUUGCUCUUUUACUUUUAUUUUAUUACAAGAAAAUAAAAAUUACAAAAAUAGGCUCAUUAAUGUUUUGUAGUCAUUUUUAAUCUUGAAAAAAUACCAAAAAUAAAUAGUUCUGUUUUAAUGGUCAGUCUUAUUUUAAUAAUUAUUUUCAGUUAAGUAGAGCUAAUUAAUAUUUUUGAUAAUACUUUUAGUUAAUUAAGCUAAUUUUAAACAUAGCUAGUCAUAAAGGCCCAAGUUUCUAGCCCAUCCUUAAGCUCAACAUCGAAUACCCAUUAAGCUAAUCCUAGGGACCAUUCUAGACUCUUAUUUAGAACAAAAAAUAAAUAAAAAGACCCUAAGGACUUAACACAAAAGACCUAGGGACUAAUUGGCAAAAUACACCUAAACCUAGACUCUACAUAUAAAGUAAUGCUUAAAAUCUAAAAAAGAAAAAAAAGGGGAGAAGACUGGAAAAGAAAAAGUUGCGCAACUUUUCACAAAUGACCCACCCCCCCUUCGGAUCGCCUCCUUCACACCACCAUACCCGAAACGAUCCAUCUCCAACGCUUGAGAAACAGCCAUUCUUCAUCAGCUGGACAAAAACCAAACCAACAACCUUUCUCCUUCUUCAACCCAUUUCCACCGUCUCCAUUUCGAAGCUAGACCAGCCAUCCACCAUCCAAACAAAGCUCCUCUGUCAAGCAAUUUCAGACCGUUACUGCUGCGCCGGAAGGUUAUGGAUCCGGCGAGAAAUCCGGCAAACCACCAAACAAUAGCCAAAGAUCGAAAUCCAAUAUAAAACAUCCCUUGUGACGUCCAAAAUCAUCGUCCAAGCUCAGUCGAGUUGAAUCAGGUGAGAUCCGUUCGAAGCUUCUGAUUUGAGGUCUGUUCAAGGUCGUCGUUGAGGCUCUUCAGUCUGGUAUAGGUCGAGUCAACCAACUUUCCGUUAGAAGAUCUGAGGUCGUCGUUGAGGUUCUGAUCUGGUCAGUUGGUUUCUUUCUCUGCAAAUUGGUUUUCAUUUUUUUUGUUGGAUUCAGAAGCUGGGUUUAGCUUCAUUUGGUUAUUUGUUGUUGUUUCAUCAGGCAAUAAAAUGUUUCUCCAAUUGUUCAUUUGGGUAAUAGUCGUAACUUUUCUAAUUCUUGUAGUAUGGACCAAACGUUUACAGUGGAGUGUUUGGAUUGUUUUUCUAUUUUGUUGCCUUCUCAUCUAUUUUACUAUUUCGUUACAGUAGCUAUGAUGUUUCUUGUCGCACUGAUUUCGUUGGACCAUGAUUAUUCAUUUUUAACUUGAUAUUGUUGAUUGUUCUAUGUGUUGUGUAUUGGUUUGAUUUUUAGGAAAUUACUUUAGAAAUAUAGUAAUGUAUUCUGGCAAAUGGUUUAAAAUCCAUCUUUGAUGAAUAACUUGUAUUGUAUGCUUACAACAAUUUUCUACGUAUAUAUCAGUUUGGUGGUGGGUUUGAUAUUAGUAAGGAUUUCAAAAAUUAUGGGCUGCUGGGAUUAUAGCCCAUCAAUUGCCAUUUGUGUUUGGAAUAUUUUGGUUGACAUAUACAAGUUAUUGGAAGCGGUUUCGAUUCUUAAAAGCUUAAAUGAACAGGAUAAUAGGUUGCUGGCCCAUCUACUUUGAAAUAACUAAGGACCUACUUUUAGAUUAUUAAUAAUUUGAGGCGUGCCAUGCCAAAUAAAAUCUCAAAACUCAUGGCCCUCGCUUUAUUACUAUUUUUAUCCUUAGAAAUCGAGGUGUGCCAUUUAGUUGAACUUCCAUGGCCCCCGCAAACUUGAAAGUGCGUAGUUGUUUUACGCGCGCUAUUUUAAACCUUACCUUCCUAAACUCGGGUGCGCAUUUAUGUGACCCAAAUCCAAAUCUCAACGUUAAAUAAAAUGUGUUGUGGACUGCGGGUGCAUUUAUGUGACGUGGUUCAAGACAUAUUUCAAAUGACGUUGCAAUCUUCCUUAAAAAAUGAUGAAUAAAAGCGGUGAUAAAGUUCAAAAUUGCACCAUAGGUUAAAACAUGUACUAUAAUCAGAUAAUAGGCCAAUUGUAACAGUUGAUCGACCAUGCUAGAACCACGGAACCCGAGAAUGCCUAACACCUUCUCCCGGAUUAACAAAAUUCCUUACCCGGAUUUCUGGUUCACGGACUGUAAAAUAGAGUAAAACUUCCUCGAUUCGGGAUUUGAACCGGUGACUUGGGACACCUUAAAUUAUCCUAAGUGGCGACUCUGAAUUUUAAAUAAAUAAUCCCUUUUCGAUUGUCACUUAAAUUGGAAAAAAUUCCCUUAUAUACACCCUUUCCGGGGGUGUAGGUAAAAAGGAGGUGUGACAAGUAGCAUCAUAUGGUGUACUACGACUUGCGAGUAUCAUUGAUUUUUAUUUUCGAGUGAUUCAGAGCUUAUUUGGAAGAAUGAUUCUUAUUUUAGAACAUAAAUUGGAAGGGUUGACCAAGUUGACUUUGUAGGUUUGAUCUCAGAUUGGAGUUUCGACAGUUCCACUAGGUCCGGAUUUUUAUUUUGAUGCUUCUAGAAGGUUUUGACAGUAAUUGGCAAAAGUGGAAAUUUGAAAGUUUAAAAUUUUUCUAAGUUUGACCAUGAUUUAACUUUGUGGUUAUCGGGCUCGAAAUUGAGUUUUGCGACAUGAAAUAAGUCCGCUUUGUCAUUUAUAACCUGUCUGCAAAAUUUGGUGUCAAUCGGAGUUGACUUGAUAUGAUUCGGACGCUUGGUUGUAAUUCUAGAAGUUCUUGAACUUUUCCUUGGAAUUCAUGUGUUUGGGAAUCCAAUUCGUAGUUCUAGAUGUUAUUUUCAUGUUUUGAUCGCGCGAGCGAGUUUGUAUAAUAUUUGUAGACUUGUGUGGAUGUUUGUUUUGGAGGCGAGGGGGAUCGAAUGAGUUUCGGAUUAGUUUUGUCAAAACUAUAUGUGAUGCUACUGGUGUCAUCAGUUGCGAUGAAAAGGUCACAAAUGUGACCAUCACAUUAGUGAACUCUUAGUCACUUUUGCGAUUCUGUGUUGCUGUGAGAGGAAUUCGCAUUUGCAAAGAAAUUCUCCGCUUUUGCGAGAGUUUUGUUGUCCGCUUUUGCAAGACAUCUAUCACUUUUGCAAUGACAGCUGCCUUCGCAUUUGCAAUGCUUUUGGUCGCAAAUGCUACUUUAGCAUAGAGUCCCAGGGUUCGCUUUUGCGAAUUCGCACUUGCAAACCUAGUGUCGCAAAUGCGACAUCUCAGGCUGGUAUUAACACUUGCAUUUCGGGACUUAGUCUCAUUUUAUCACGUCUUGAGCCGUAGACUCGGUGGGAGGCCAUUUUGUGGAGAGUUUUUCGUACCAAACUAUUGGGUAUGUGAUUAUUAUCAAUUUUUAACUAUAUUUCAUGAUUUUAUCUUAGAUUUAACAUCAAAUAUGUUAAUCAAAGUGAAAAUUUGAGGAUUUUUGCCUUUUUGGAAAAUAAGAAUUUACGUUUUGAGACUCGAUUUGGACUUGGAUUUUGAAACAAAAUACAUAUAUGGACUCGUGGGGUUAGGGGUAGUCGGAACCUACCCUUGGGCCCGGAUUUUGAUCGGGUGGGUCCAAGAUUGACUUUUGUUGACUUUUUAGAAAAUUUGUAAAUAUCAUAAAUUUAUCUAUUGUAAUUAGUUUCUCUUGCACUAUUUGAUAUUAUUAAGUCGUUUUGGUUAGAUUUGAGCCGCGCGGAGGCGAAUUUUAAAGAGAAAUCUAUCUUUGACUGUUGAUUUGGCCUAAUUGAGGUAAGUAUCUUUCCUAACUUUAUGUGGGGGAACUACCCCUUAGGAUUGAGAUUGAUUGUUCUAUUUGUGUUAUGUGAAAGUCGUGUAUGCAAGGUAACAAGUGGGUACACAGACUAUAUGUGGUAAUUGACCAGUUUAAGUUAUUUAGACUUUUUCCACGCCUUUAAUUGAAUUGUCAUAACAUGUUUUACUUCUCAUUGUUAAUCAAUUAUUACAUGUAUUAAACUACACUUACAUGCUUUAUUUGUCAUUGUUAACACUUUUUGUACCUUUUACUUGUUAUUUUGCUUCUAUAUGAUUUAGUUGAAGUCAUGUCUUUCCUUACUGCCUUGUUGCAUCUUUAAUUAUUGACUUACUUUUACUUGAAGUUAUUAUUUUGCAAAAGAUCUUUUUUGUUGAGUUAUUGGUGUUGAAGUUGUGAAAGUCGUUAUCACAUUGAGGCGAAGUUGUUAAUUAUUGAGAUAUCUUUCUUUUGGAGAAAUUCACAUUCAUUUGUUAUUGCUGAUAUUCUUGUAAACAUUAUGGUUGAUCCAUGGGCUAUUUGUUGUGAAAAUAUUGAUAUUGUUGAUUUUGGUAAGUUGUGGCAUACGGGCACUUAUGGUGAGAGUUGUUAUUGUGUUGUGAUAUUGAUGCACAUGCGGCGGUAUAAGGAUAGGGAUUUAUGUGCAUACGGUGGCAUAAGGUGGGAUUUAUGUGCGUAUUGCUAGUAUGGAAAUUACUUGAAGCCACACGACAACAUAAGGUGGGAUAAAGUGCGUGUAGCUAUCUCGGAAAAAAUAUUUUGAAAACUAUCUACAUCUACGGCUCACAUGGCGGUAAAAGAAAAGAUUGUGAUUGAACUUGUGAAAAGUGAAUACGAGGCGGUACCUCGGUUGUGAAACUUAUUGUACAUUCUUGUGAUGACCCAAAAGGUCAUAACUUAUUUUAGAAGUAAAUUCUAUGAUCCGGACCAUAAAAAUCUCUUUUUUCCUCAUCUCAAUUUUCGUGCGUAGUCCGGGCGCGUAUCUGGAAAACCAUUAUGUGAAAAUAUGUAAAAAUGAUUAAAUUUGGUUUGAAAAUGAAUUUAAGUUGACUUCGGUCAACUUUUUAGGUAAGCGGACCAGGACCCAUGAUUUGAUGGUCCUAGAGGGUCCGUAGGAAAACACGGGACUUGGGCGUAUGCCCGAAAUUGAAUUCCGAGGUCCCAAACCCGAUAAAUGAAUUUUUGAAGAAAAUUGUUUAACUGAAACUAUAAGAGUUUUUAGAAAUUAAAAUAUGUUUGAAUUUGAUGGUAUCGGCCCCGUAUUUUUGUUCCGAAGCCCGGUACAGGUCUUAUAUAGUAUUUAAGUCAAGCCUGUAAAAUUUGGUAAGAAACGGAUUUGAUAUGACGUGAAUCGGACCAUCGAUUGAUAAAAAAUGGAAAUUAAGAGUUCAUGAGAUUUUUCUUUGAUUUUGAUGCUAAAUACAUAGUUAUUGAUGUUAUUUUGAUGAUUUGAUCGCACAAGCAAGUCCGUAUGAUGUUUUUGGACAUGCGUGCAUGUUUGGUUUGGAGCCCUGAGGGCUCGGGUGAGUUUUGGAUAGGCCACGGAGUGAAUUGCACUUAGGAGAAUUGCUGGUGUGUUGCAGGUUUGUAGCAGGCCUCUGAUCUCGCAUUUGCGAGAUUAGGAAUCGCAAUUGCCAUGUAAGAAGGGUUCGCAAAUGCGAGGUUUUUGUGGCAAAUGCGAAGAACCCCAUGACAGCCUUAUCUCGCAUUUGCGAGGUACACUUUGCUAAUGCAAAGUCUUCAGUUAAUGCCAGAAGUCGCAAAUGCGACCCAUGUGUCGCAAAUGCGAUGUCGUAAAUGCGACAUACCUUUCGCAAUUGCGAAGUCAGCAGGUUCUUUAAAGGUUCGUAAUUGCGACAUCUGCAACCUACUAAAUCAUAACUUAGACGCAUUUUCAGCCAUUUUUCAAACCUUUUGAAAACCUAAACACUUUUGGGAGAUUUUUCAAAGACAACUACUCUUCCAAAUCGAUUGUAAGUCAUUUCUAAUUCGUUUUCAUUAAUAUUUAACAUCUUUUCAUAUGAUUUCAACUCAAAAUCAAGGGUUUUCAUGUGGAAAAUUGGGUGUUUUGGGUAGAACUUAGGAUUUUCAAAUUUUGGGGAUUUGGACCUCGAUUUAAGGUCCGAUUUCAAACAAAUUAUAUAUUUGGGUUCGUGGGUAGAUGGGUAAUCAGGUUUUGGUUUGAACCUCAGGUUUUGACCAUGUGUGUACGGGGUCGAAUUUUGACUUUUUGGGGAAAUCAUUGGAAAACUUAUUUUCAUUCAUUGAAAUUGAUUCAUUUAGCAUUUAUUGAUAUAGUUAAGUAACUUGUGACUAGAUACAAGCAAAUUGGUAGUGGAAACGAGAGGUAAAGCGAUAGUUGAGGCUUGAAUUGUGUUCGUAGCAUCGAGGUAAGUGUUUGGUCCAACCUUAGCUUGAGAGAUUAGGAGUUGUGUGUUAUUUGCUAUGUGGUAGUUGUGGAGUACGACGUAUAGGAAUGGUGACGAGUAUCUAUACGUCAGAGUCAAGCAUGCCCGUGGGUCUAGUGUUGUAAUUAGUGUCACUCCUUUGAGAUUUAUUCAUGCUUAAUAUGUUGAUUAUCCUUUUUGGUUCCCUUGUUGGGAUGUUAUUAUUUAUGAUAUUGUAUCUCUUACCGGGAUGUUAUUGUUACGAUAUUGUCUCCCUUGCCGGGAUGUUAUUAUUUACGAUAUUGUCUCCCUUGCCGGGAUGUUGUUGUUAUACUCUUGUUCUCUUGCCGGAAUUCUUUUGUGAUGGAUGUUGAUUUGUAAAUGGGAUGGGGUUGCACACCUACAACAAGAUAUGUGAAAUGGGAGCGGGUUGCACGCCUGCAACAAGAUAUAUGAAAUGGGAUCGGGUUGCACUCCUGCAACGAGAUAUAUGAAAUAGGAACGGGUUGCACUCAUGCAACAAGAUAUAUGAAAUGCGAGUGGGUUGCACGCCUGCAACAAGAUAUAUCAAAUGGGAGCGGGUUGCAUGCCUACAACGAGAUAUAUGAAAUGGGAGUGGGUUGCACGCCUGCAACGAAAUAUACGAAAUGGGAGCGGGUUGCACGCAUGUAACGAGAUAUAUGAAAUGGGAUCGGGUUGCACGUCUGUAAUAAGAAAGAAAUGAAAGUGAAUACUGUGUUUGUUUUUGUUAUGCCCCAAGCCUAGGGGUGAGACCGACACUCAGUGCCUCAACUAUCCUUGCGUAUCACUUGCGACUAAGAGUCUCUGAAUAUGAAAUAUCAUACUUUGGCUAUGGGCCACAUUACAAGAUAAUGUGCGAUACAAAAUAUAAAACUAAAUGGAGAUUAACGCUGACUAAUGUCAACAUAAAGCUCGGCCGACAAGGCCGUCAUAAUUAUUACAACUGACAAGCUAACAAAAUAUAUGUACAGGUCCUACAAGCCCAACAUACUGCACUAAUCGACAGGAUAUGUCCACAAGCCUCUAAUGAUAGAUAUACUGUGAUCGAAACAGGGCCCCGACCUACCCAUAAUCUAUCUACAUAUAUACAGAAGAUAUACAACAUAGUGCUAGACCCGGCAAAAGAGGAGCUUACCGAUAAAGCUGAACUCGGGCAACACCUACUGAGGAGGUCUACCCGUUUGUUUGUCUGAACCUGCACACAUGAAAUGCAGCGCCCCCAGAAAGGGACGUCAGUACGAAAUAAUGUACCGAGUAUGUAAGUCAAUAUACUGAAGCUGAAACUAAACUGAUAAUAUAAUAACUGAAAACAACUGGGAGUCAAGAAAAUCUGAAGAUAUGCUCAUCUGCUGAUACUGACUCAACUCUCUCAAUAUAGUGAGUAAAAUAGCUGUCCGGCCCUAUAAUGAUCGAUAUUCAUAUAUAUAUCUGCUCUGCCAUAGUAGGCUCGCUCAUAAGCAUUCAGCCAUACUAGGCUCUGUAUCUCGACCUACUGGGCUCGUUCAUAGGCGCUCGGCCAUAACAGGCUCAGUAUAUAACUUACCAUCUGAUCAGAGGUUGCCCAAUAGAGGCCUGCCCAUCAAUUAUAGCUCGAUGGUAAUGAAAGUACUUUUAAUACUGUAUAUAUAUAAACUCUCUGCUCUUUUGACCGGAAAAAGGAAAUACUCAACUGAAUAUGCAGUCUUGAUAAGCAGAAUAUGGUAACUUACAAAACUAGAGAAAUAUAUGUAAUUUGCGAAACUAGCAAAAUAUAAGCAAAUUCCGGAAUACGAAUUUUUCUUUAUGCCUCGUUAUCGAACUUAUGCAAUUACGAUAUCAUGCUAAAAUUAAGAAAAAGCUUAGCCUUAACAUGCAUGUUCCUUAAAUUAUUUGUUCGAAGUGAAGCUUCUGCUUCCGUGAAAUAUGUUGGAACGAGAAAACGAAGCUUCUGCUUCUGAAAUUGGAACGAAACUUUGCUUGAAUUUUGUUGGAGUUGGACGAAUUUGCUUCAAUUGAAGCCUUUGUCUUUGAAUUGAAAUGUUUCUACCUCAACACUUCUUUGAACGUUAUUUGGUUUCAAGUCUUAAGAGGAAAUGUUUCUGUAACUAUUUUUUAAGAUUUGAAAGAGUUUUGAUUCAUUUGAAGUUUGGCAAAUAAUGAUUUUGAUUAGUCAUCAUUCUUCCUAAAUGACAUCUUGCAUAAGUGACUUAUUAUUUACAUUUUUGACUUGGUGACUUUUUGCCACGUGUGGGGGGUUAAUCAUUAAUUUUUUAUCCACUUAUUAGUUAACUGAGUAAUGUUCUGUUAUCCGGUAAUUAAUCAAUUACCCGCAUAAUUUAAAANNNNNNNNNNNNNNNNNNNNNNNNNCGUGGUCAUAUGGUACCUAGCAUGGUACUAGUUCAUAAUUAUCGGGUAUUAUCACUCGACCCGUAUUUUAUUCGAAAUUGGCCACUUUCAACGAAACUCGUUUUCUUUAAUCCGCGUAUACCUUUAUCCUUCAUAACACUUAUUUAUCGCUUGUUAUAAAUAGCGUAAGUACGUUAACAUCAAGAUGAUCUCAUCCCCGACUCUAUGUCGGUUAACUGAAAACGACAUUUUAACGUACGAAAAUCGCGAGAUAUAACAUCUUUCCCCCCAUAGAAACAUUUGUCCUCGAAAUCUAUUAUUAGAUACUCUGGGAAUAUUUUUUUUUGCCGAAGUCUCUUCCGUACAUCUGACUGAAACCAACCUGUACGUAGCCAGAAAACUUACUAUACAUGCCACACAUGGCCAUUGUCUAUAAAUAGCAACAUUUGGCUCCACACAACUGUCCAUUAUAAAUUCUGAGAGUUAAAAAAAAUGAGAGUUUACCUGAUGACCUACUGGCCUGAGAGUUUAUACUCUCGAGUCAUAUCUUCAGUUUGAAAUAGGUGGGGGUAUUUAGACUUCAUUUCUUCCUCUAUUUCCCACGUCAUCUCUUCCACCUUCUUACUUUUCUAUAAAACCUUCACGGAUGCUAUCUUCUUAUUUCGUAGCUUGCGGAUUUGUCGGUCUAUGAUGGCAACCAAAAUUUCCUCGUAUGAAAAGUCCUUUGUAAUCUGUACAUCAUCUAUGGGUACCACUUGGUUAGGAUCGCCAAUGCACUUUCGUGACAUAGAUACGUGAAAAACCGGAUGAACAGACUCCAAUUCCGAGGGCAAUUCUAACUCAUAAGCUUCUUGGCCCACUCUUUCGCUAUAAGGCCCAAUAUACCGUGGGCUAAGCUUGCCUUUCUUGCCAAAUCUCAUUACACCUUUUAUAGGUGAUACCUUUAGGAAUACCUAGUCAUUAACCCCGAAUUCCAAAUCUCGUCGCCGCACGUCAUAAUAUGACUUCUGACGACUCUGAGCUAUCAACAGUCACUCCCGGAUAAGCUUUACUUUUUCUAUGGCCUGCUGAACCAGGUCUGGCCCAUAUAACCCAGCAACAUCGAACCACCCUAUGGGAGAUCUACACCUGCGCCCAUACAAAGCCUCGACAAAGCCAUCUGGAUACUGGAGUGGUAACUAUUAUUAUAUGAAAACUCGAUAAGAGGUAGAUGUUCAUCCCAACUUCUUUUAAAGUCCACCACACAUGCUCGCAACAUAUCCUCGAGCGUCUGAAUUGUGCGCUCGGCUUGUCCAUCCGUUUGUGGAUGAAAAGCUAUGCUUAGAUUCACCUGAGUUCCUAGAUCUUUCUGAAAUGACCUAUAAAAAUGUGUUGUAAACUGGGCCCUACGGGUCAUAUAUAAUAGAUACGGGUACUCCGUGUAGUCGCACUAUCUCCUUAAUAUAUAAAUUUGCAUAAUCCUCUAUUGUAUAUGACCUGACCAGUAGGAAAUGAGCUGAUUUCGUGAGCCUGUCGACUAUCACCCAUAUGGAAUCAAACUUACGAUGGGAACGAGGUAAACCCGUGAUAAAGUCCAUGUUUAUCGCUUCCGAUUUCCAUACCGGGAUCUCUAUAGUCUGCAUUAGCCCUCCGGGCUUCUGGUGCUCUAUUUUCACCUACUGGAAACUAGAGCAUUGAGCGACAUACUCAGCAAUGUUCUUCUUCAUAUCGUUCCACCAAUACACAUCCUUAAUGUCAUGAUACAUCUUUGUCGACCCAAGGUGAAUGGAAUACCAUGAAUAAUGUGCCUCUGAUAUAAUCCUGUCUCGUAGCCCUGCUACAUCUGGAACACACAAAUGACCCCUGUAUCUGAGAACCACAUCUCCUUUAAGUUCUAACAACGACUUAUUCUGUUGUGAAACCCGCUCUCUCAACUUGACUAACUCUGGAUCCUCAUACUGCCUCUCCUUUACUUCAGCUAUGAGAGAUGAUUUUGCAUUAUUUUGGAGUAUAACUCCUCCAUUGCCAGAGUCUACUAACCGAACCAACAAACAAGCCAAUUAAUGAAUCUCUCUUGUUAAUUCUCUUUACUCGGCCUUUACAUGUGUUAAGCUACCCAUAGAUCGACGACUUAAGGCAUCUGCUACAAUAUUAACUUUCCUUGGAUGGUAGAGAAUGUUAACAUUGUAGUCUUUUAAUAAUUUAAGCCAUAGCCUCUGUCGCAAAUUCAACUCUUUUUGCUUGAAGAUAUAUUGCAGGCUUUUAUGAUCUGUGAACACAUCAACAUGAACACCAUAUAAAUAAUGCCGCCAUAUCUUAAGUGCAUGGACAACCACAGCUAAUUCGAGGUUGUGGGUCGGAUAAUUCCGGUCAUGCUUUUUUAACUGCCGUGAAGCAUACGCAAUUACUUUCCCAUGUUGCAUUAGGACAUAUCCCAACCCGACACCCGAGGCAUCACAAUACAUGGCAUAACCAUCUGGACCUUCUGGAAGUGCUAGAACUGGCGCUGAGGUCAACUUGUUCUUAAGCUCUUGGAAACUCUGUUCACAGGCUUCUGGCUUCUGUCCACUAAAACUUAGUCGCUUUCUACGUCAGCUUUGUUAAUGGUGCUGAAAGAGAAGAAAAACCCUCUACGAACCUCCGGUAAUAUCCUGUUAAGCCUAGAAAGCUACGAAUCUCUAUUGGAGUGGUAGGUAUAGGCCAGGAUCUCAUAGCCUCAAUCUUCUGAGUGUCUACCUUUAUUCCUCUAUCAGAUACAAUAUGCCCUGAGAAUGCUAUGGACUUUAACUAGAACUCACACUUAGAAAACAUAGCAUACAAUUUAUUAUCACGGAGGGUUUGGAGUACUACUCGUAGGUGAUCCACAUGCUCAUCCUCUAAACGUGAAUAAACCAUAAUAUCAUCAAUAAAGACUAUCACGAACAGAUCCAAAUAUGGCCGGAAUAGGCUAUUCAUUAAGUCCAUAAGUAUGGCAGGUACAUUCGUCAACCUGAAGGACAGAACAAGGAACUCAAAAAUGGCCAUAUCGAGUCCUAAAGGCUGUCUUGGGAAUAUCUUUCUCCAGAACUCUGACCUGGUGGUACCUCGACCUCAAAUCUAUCUUUGAAAAGCAUCUAGCUCCCUGCAACUGAUCAAAUAAGUCAUCUAUCCUUGGAAGGGGAUACUUAUUAUUAAUAGUUAUCUUAUUCAGUUGCCUAUAAUCGAUACACAUCCUCAGCGAUCCGUUUUUGUUCUGUAAAAAUAGUACCCAUGCACCCCACGGUGAGGUACUGGGUCUAAUGAAACCCUUCUCCAGCAAAUCUUUUAACUGCUCCUUCAACUCCUUCAAUUCGGCAGGUGCCAUUCUAUAUGGAGGGAUGGAUAUUGGCUGUGUUCCCGGAAGCAAAUCGAUGCCAAAACCAAUCUCUCGCUCUAGAGGAAUACCUGGAAGUUCAUCUGAAAAUACAUCUGCGUACUCCUUUACUACUGGAAUGGACUGAAGUGUAGGUAUCUCAGCAUCUGCAUCUUUAACUCACACAAUAUGAUAAAUGCACUCUCUUGCGAUCAUUUUCCUCGCCUUCAGAUAGGAAAUAAACCUGCCUCUGGGUGUCGCUGUAUUACCUACCCUUUCAAGGACUGGCUCACCUAAAAAAUGAAAUCUAGCUGUAUUUGCUCGACAAUAAACCGUGACAUAACAAGUUGCCAACCAGUCCAUGCCCAUGAUAACAUCGAAAUCCAACACCUCUAGUUCAACUAGGUUGGCUGAGGUCUGACGACCACAAAUGGAUACCGUACAACCUCAGUAAACGCAUCUAGCGAUAAUCGAUUCUCCGACCAGUGUAGAUACUGCAAAAGGAUCACUUAGUAUUUCAGGUACUAUACCAAAUUUCCUCACGACAAAUGGUGUAAUACAUGAUAAAGUAGAUCCUAGGUCUAUCAAGGCAUAAACAUCAUGAGAACAAAUGGUCAACAUACCUGUCACAACAUUUGGUGAGGACUCUUGGUCUUGUCGACCUGCUAGCGCAUAGAUACGAUUCUUGAUACCACAUGAACUGGACCCUCUACCUCUGUCUCGACCUCUACCAGCUGAAAGUGAGACUCAUGCCCUGAAGGAUGCACGAACAUAGCUGAUCAUGUUGUUGAAUUAACUGGUUGUGCCAUACCCAGAAUCUCUAUUUGGGAAAUCUCGCAUCAUAUGCCCUAGACGUCCACAUGUAUAACAAGCAUUGGAAUCGUCUCGGCAUUGGCGUAAUUGUCCUCAACCACAGAUGGAACAUCGUGCCAUAAACGACCCUAUCUAUCUCGAACCUCAUUGUAGCUGCAAACUUGACGCCUGAGAUCUCUCACCUGGUCCUGACUAAGUAUAGCGGUCAUACAUGUAACCCUGUAGAUGAGGUGGCAGAGGUCUAGGUGGCCGUUCGAAGUACUAGGGCCUGUAACUAUCCUGAGACUGCUCCUAAGACCUGGAAAAUUUCGUUCUCUUAUGCUACCUUGACUCAGUCCUCUCCGUACUCUACUGCUGAUGCAUACCCCUCUCUAUAUUUUGGGUAAAUGCCUGAAUCUACGAGAUAUCCAUACUAUCCUGUAAUGCAGUGGUGGAACACGCCUCGGUCAACUCUGGGGCCAACCCUGCUAUAAACUUAUGGAUUCUAUCCCGUAUAGUAGCAACUAUUGAUGGUGCAUAUCUGGCCAAUGAGUCAAAACAGAAACUAUAUUCUCGAACACUCAUAUUGCCCUGCUUGAGGGCUAGAAACUGAUCGAGUUAGGCCUGUCGGAUCUCUCGUGGUAAGUACUGGUCAAUGAUGGCAUCUGAAAAAUUCUCCCAAAACGUAGGAGGUGCAUCACGUCCCCUGGACCUUUCCCAUCCCUCAUACCAAAGGAUGGCUAUAUCGCGGAGUCGAAAAGCUGCUAAUUCAACUGCCUCUUUCUCCCUGGCAUGCAUAACCCGAAAGAUCCUAUGAAGCUGAUCUAUGAAAUCCUGCGGGUCCUCCCUUUGAUCUGUUCCCGUGAACUCUAGGGGAUUCAAAGCAAUAAACUCUCGGACCCUUGAACUCCCAGAUCCCUCAGAAGGUCCUGCACUAGUGGAUGCCCUAGCCUAUUACUGGGUAGCUACCAACUGUGCCAACAAAUGCAUCGCGCUUCUCAAGUCCUGAUCUGCUAAGAGUAGAGGGGGAACUAGGUGUGCGGUCUCCCUAGGAAUCUCCUCAGGUGGCAGAGGAGCCGGUAAUCACUGGGUAGGGGUCUCUCCCUACAACUCCAAUUGGGACCCAUCUGCUGGGGGUACCCUGCUAGUCCCCUUACCUACUGUUGUUUCUCUCCCCUGCCUUGCUGUAGCCUUCCUAGUUACCAUUAUAUGUGCAUGCAAACGUCAACACGUAAGUUUAAUCUCAAAUUUCCUAUAACUCAGUGCUACAACACGAUUUAAAUUUGAAAGAAGGGUAACCAACUCCUAAAUGCCCUGUAGUCCCCUGCUUAUAUAAUGUGGUGCACCACACAUUUAUAAACAAGACCUUACUAGACACGAUUUGUAGACUCCACAGUACAGAACUACUCUGAUACCACUUUGUCACGCCCCAAGCCUAGGGGUGAGACCGCACUCAGUGCCUCAACUAUCCUUGCGUAUCACUUGCGACUAAGAGUGUCUGAACAUGAAAUGUCAUACUUUGGCUAUGGGCAUAAUGUGCGAUACAAAAUACAAAACUAAAUAGAUAUUAACACUGACUAAUGUCAACAUAAAGCUGGGCCGGCAAGGCCGUCAUAAUUACUACAACUAAUAAGCCAACAAAAUAAACGUACAAGGCCUAUAAGCCCAACAUACUGCACUAACCGGCAGGAUAUGUCUACAAGCCUCUAAGGAUNNNNNNNNNNNNNNNNNNNNNNNNNNNNNNNNNNNNNNNNNNNNNNNNNNNNNNNNNNNNNNNNNNNNNNNNNNNNNNNNNNNNNNNNNNNNNNNNNNNNNNNNNNNNNNNNNNNNNNNNNNNNNNNNNNNNNNNNNNNNNNNNNNNNNNNNNNNNNNNNNNNNNNNNNNNNNNNNNNNNNNNNNNNNNNNNNNNNNNNNNNNNNNNNNNNNNNNNNNNNNNNNNNNNNNNNNNNNNNNNNNNNNNNNNNNNNNNNNNNNNNNNNNNNNNNNNNNNNNNNNNNNNNNNNNNNNNNNNNNNNNNNNNNNNNNNNNNNNNNNNNNNNNNNNNNNNNNNNNNNNNNNNNNNNNNNNNNNNNNNNNNNNNNNNNNNNNNNNNNNNNNNNNNNNNNNNNNNNNNNNNNNNNNNNNNNNNNNNNNNNNNNNNNNNNNNNNNNNNNNNNNNNNNNNNNNNNNNNNNNNNNNNNNNNNNNNNNNNNNNNNNNNNNNNNNNNNNNNNNNNNNNNNNNNNNNNNNNNNNNNNNNNNNNNNNNNNNNNNNNNNNNNNNNNNNNNNNNNNNNNNNNNNNNNNNNNNNNNNNNNNNNNNNNNNNNNNNNNNNNNNNNNNNNNNNNNNNNNNNNNNNNNNNNNNNNNNNNNNNNNAUACACCACAUUGCUAGAUCCGGCAACUCCGACAGAAGGGGAGCUUACCGAUAAAUUUGAACUCGGGCAAUACCUACUGAGGAGAUCUACCCGUCUGUCUAUCUGAACCUGCACGCAUGAAAUGCAGCGCCCCUAAAAAGGGACGUCAGUACAAAAUAAUGUAUCGAGUAUAUAAGGUAAUAUACUGAAGUUGAAACUGGAGUGAUAAUAUAAUUACUGAAAACAACUGGGAGUCAAGAAAAUCUGAAGAUAUACUCAUCGGCUGAUACUAACUCAACUCUCUCAAUAUAUUGAGUAAAAUAGUUGUCCGGCCAUAUUAGGCUCGGUAUACAUAUAUAUCUACUCUGCGGUGGUAGGCUCGCUUAUAAGCGCUCGGCCAUACUAGGCUCUAUAUCUCGACCAACUGGGCUCGCUCAUAGGCGCUCGGCCAUAGCAGGCUCGGUAUAUAACUUACCAUCUGAUCAGAGGUUGCCCAAUAGAGGCCAGCCUAUCGAUUAUAGCUCGAUGGUAAUGAAAAUACUUUUAAUACUGUAUACAUGUAAACUCUCUGCUCUUUUGACCGGAAGAAGGAAAUACUCAAUUGAAUAUGCAGUCCCGAUAAGAAGAAUAUGGUAUCUUACAAAACUAGGAAAAUAUAUGUAAUUUGCGAGACAAGCAAAAUAUACGCAAAUUCCGGAAUACAAAUUUUUCUUUAUGACUUGUUAUCGAACUUGUGUAAUUACGAUAUCAUGCUAAAAUGAAGGAAAAGCUUAUCCUUAACAUACCCAUUCCUUAAAUUUUUUGAUCAAAGUGAAGCUUCUGCUUCCAUGAAAUAUGUUGGAAUGAGAAAAUGAAGCUUCUGCUUCUGAAAUUGGAACGAAACUUUGCUUGAAUUUUGUGUAGUUGGACGAAUUUGCUUCAAUUGAAGCCUUUGUCUUUGAAUUGAAAUGUUUCUGCCUCAAUACUUCUUUGAACGAAUUUCCUUGGAAUCAAAACUUUUAAUUCUUUAACUUUUCAAUUAAGACAAAAGCUCCCAACGUUAUUUGGUUUCAAGUCUUACGAGGAAAUGUUUCUAUUCUUUUUUUAAGAUUUGAAAGAGUUUUGAUUCAUUUGAAGUUUGGCAGAUAAAGAUUUUGAUUGUCAUCAUUCUUCCUAAAUGACAUCUUGGAUAAGUGACUUAUUAGUCACAUUUGUGACUUGGUGGCUUUUUGCCAUGUGGGGGGGGGGAGGGGGGUUAAUUAUUAUUUUUUUAUCCACUUAUUAGUUAACUGGGUAAUGUUCUGUUACUCGGUAAUUAAUUAAUUACCCGUAUAAUUUAAAAAUUACCACAAUUUACUUAAAAUUCAAUUUAUUUUUUUAAAAUACUUCUUAUAUACUUUAUAUAUUAUACUAUCGUGGUCAUAUGGUACCUUGCAUGAUACUAGUUCAUAAUUAUCAGGUAUUAUCGCUCGACCUAUAUUUUAUUCCAAAUUAGCCACUUUCAACGAAACUCGUUUUCUAUUAUUCACGUACACUUUUAUCCUUCAUAACACUUAUUUAUCUCUUGUUAUAAAUAGCAUAAGUACGUUAACGUCAAGAUGAUCUCAUCCCCGAGUCUACGUCGAUUAACUAAAAACGAAAUUUUAACGUAUGAAAAUCGCGAGAUGUAACCGUUUUCCUCAUUAUUUUUGGCAAUUAAAUUCUGGUUUCUUUACAUUCCUCUUUGGUAUUUUGUUGUUUUUUGAUACUCCCUGUAACAUGCUUUCCCCUCCCCAUCUUUAAUUGCGAAUAUUUGCUUUUAUUUUUCGCUGUAUAUGGUUUAACUGCACAGGUUUAUUUAGUAGUCUGGUCCUAGCCUCGUCACUACUUCGCCGAGGUUAGUCUAGGCACUUACCAACACAUGGGGUCGGUUGUGCUAAUACUACGCUCUGCAUUGUGUGCAGAUCCCGAUGCUGCAGCUUUUGGACCGCAGUGAGGGUGCUGUUUUCAGUCCAUUCAGUCGACCCGAGGUAGUCCUGCAGGCGUCCGCAGGACCUGGCAUCUCCUUCUAUCUUUCUAUACUAUUUCUCCUAAGUAUUUCUGAAACAAGGUUGUAGUUAUCUUUUGAACCCUUAUUUGUAGUUAUCCUAGACAAUCUGUGAUAUUGUGACACCAAAUUCUGCGUAGAGUUGUACCUCGGAUUUAUGUAUCCGUGUUUGUUUAAACUAUUAAGUUUUUGUCUUCCGCAUUUCUGGUUAUUGUUUUGAUUCCUCUGUUGACC
rnacentral:lncRNA from 1 species